CGGCCCCUCUUUCUUUCCUCUCUUCCUCAUGCCCUCAUGCCGGUCUUGCUUUGGCAGAAAAGAAACGUACAAACCAGAGGGGCAGAGCAUCGCAAGCGAGAUGGCAGUAUGAUCUGUGGGUCGGGGCUAGGCCGGCCAGCAAGCUGGCGAUGGCAGAAGCCAUGCGCGCUGGCCGGUGGCCCUCAAAAGAGGGAGAAGAUGAGCGAGAAAGGGGUUUUUUUUCGGAGAGGAGAUGGACAGAGAGCUUGAGAGAGAUCGAAGAGCUCGAGAGAACGGAGGGCGAGCCAGAGGGAGAGAGUGAGACCGAGAGAGCGUUUCGGCAUUUCCUGAGAUCCGCCCGUUGCUCAUCGUCCGAACCGGGUAAGUCUUCCGAACCGUUGGUGCUCCGUUUUAGGAGGUGUUGGACCGGAGCUCGCGACCGACCAUUUCGCGCGAGCUUCGGUCCCGCUGGUCCUUCGUUGAUUUUGUUGCGCGUUCUGGUAUGUUUCGGUAGGAACUUAGGGCUGUGUUUGAGUCUCGAUCACGUCGGAAAUCUCUCGUUCGAGUCGCGCACGUCAACUGUUUGCAGGGAUGCUUGAAUGAAGUCCGAGUAUUCUUAGUUGGUCUUGACCGAGCCUUAUCGUCCUUGAGUUCAUAUCCAUAUUAAAUUUGAUGCAAUCUGUCUCUGAGUUGGUCUGGAAUGUUGUUUGUGUGUCGAUUAUCGUUGCUUGGUCCGAACAAUAGCCCCGGACGAGCUUGGUCCUCCCUCUCGCUGGUGCAUUCUAUCUGUUUGAUGAAAUGUCAAAAUGAGAUUUGGAAAUGGUUUCUGCGAGGUUUGUUGCUGUGAUAUUGUCUUUGUUCGAGUUUGAGUCGCUUCCAUCGUGUUGUUUGCUCAUGCCGGUGUUAUUACACAAAUCGACGGAGUUUUAGUCAUACGAAAAUUUAGAGCUCAAAAAUCUAAUCUUUCGUCAGAAGCAUUCCGGCAACGGUGAUGAUCUCCGGUCAACUAGUGGCCGGCGGAGGUUCGGCGGUGGAAGGGUCGCCGGUCGUUCCGGGCUGCGUCGUUAUUUGGCUGAGUUUCGAUGAGGCCAUGUUUUGGGGAAGAGAAGGCUUCGGGCGUGCAGAGAGGAUGCACGAGGGAGAAGAAGACCAAAGGGGAG
rnacentral:lncRNA from 1 species